rnacentral:rRNA from 1 species
CCUACGGGAGGCAGCAGUAGGGAAUCUUCCACAAUGGACGAAAGUCUGAUGGAGCAACGCCGCGUGAGUGAAGAAGGGUUUCGGCUCGUAAAGCUCUGUUGGUAGUGAAGAAAGAUAGGGGUAGUAACUGGCCUUUAUUUGACGGUAAUUACUUAGAAAGUCACGGCUAACUACGUGCCAGCAGCCGCGGUAAUACGUAGGUGGCAAGCGUUGUCCGGAUUUAUUGGGCGUAAAGCGAGUGCAGGCGGUUCAAUAAGUCUGAUGUGAAAGCCUUCGGCUCAACCGGAGAAUUGCAUCAGAAACUGUUGAACUGGAGUGCAGAAGAGGAGGGUGGAAUUCCAUGUGUAGCGGUGGAAUGCGUAGAUAUAUGGAAGAACACCAGUGGCGAAGGCGGCUCUCUGGUCUGUAACUGACGUUGAGGCUCGAAAGCGUGGGGAGCAAAUAGGAUUAGAUACCCGUGUAGUC